GAGUGUGAGUGUGUGACUGCAUUUCUGUGCCUGUUGCUGCCGUUCGAACUGGUUGUCCUUUGUGCCAUGCUCAACUCUAACUUAUUCCCAGAGUAAA